rnacentral:rRNA from 1 species
AGAGUUUGAUCCUGGCUCAGGAUGAACGCUGGCGGCGUGCCUAAUACAUGCAAGUCGAGCGAACCACUUCGGUGGGAAGCGGCGAACGGGUGAGUAACACGUAGGUGAUCUGCCCAUCAGACGGGGACAACGAUUGGAAACGAUCGCUAAUACCGGAUAGGACGAAAGUUUAAAGAUGCUCCUGGCAUCACUGAUGGAUGAGCCUGCGGCGCAUUAGCUAGUUGGUGGGGUAAAGGCCUACCAAGGCGACGAUGCGUAGCCGACCUGAGAGGGUGAACGGCCACACUGGGACUGAGACGCGGCCCAGACUCCUACGGGAGGCAGCAGUAGGGAAUCUUCGGCAAUGGGCGAAAGCCUGACCGAGCAACGCCGCGUGAAUGAAGAAGGCCUUCGGGUUGUAAAAUUCUGUUAUAAGGGAAGAAAGGUGAUAGGAGGAAAUGACUAUCAAUUGACGGUACCUUAUGAGAAAGCCACGGCUAACUACGUG